UGUCGUUUGAUAUACUCUUUGAAAUCCAAAUGAUGUUAAUUAGAGAUGGAAUUGAUGUUGUGAGUUGGAUUAGUAGAAUGGGUUGUAUAUAAGAGUUGUGGUGGUUAGUUCAUGGAAGAGCUUAGAAAGUAUGAGUAAUUCAAUUUGUUUAUCUAAAUUGUUGUGAGGAUGGUUAAUGAUUGUUGGUAUUGUUUUGAGGUCGUUGUUGGAGUAUGUAUAUGGAGAUAAUUUAUGAAGUUCGAGCUAUAGUUGGUUAUCCAGAAUGUCGAAUUAUUGGGAAUCGUAUAAAGGGUUCAUUGUUAGUGAUUUUGCAGGGUUGAUGUCGAGGUCGUGGAAUAUGAUUAUUGAUCAAGAAGAAGAGUUUUAUGUUAUGAAAUGGUGGGCUGAGGUUAAAGUUAGAUGUUUUGUUUCAAAGUAUUCGUAAUCUGUUAUUUGAUUUUCAAGUUGUUAUAUUGUGGGCCCCUGACCCACAGAUUCAGGAUCGUUUUUAUAGGUUUAGUUUCCGCUGUAAAUAAAUGCAAAUUCGAGGUUUGUUAAGUGUUGAUUUUGUUUUGUGUA